rnacentral:rRNA from 1 species
UUUAAAUGGCCGCAGUAUCCUAACUGUGCAAAGGUAGCAUAAUCAUUAGUCUUUUAAUUGAAGGCUGGUAUGAAUGGUUGGACGAGAUAUUAACUGUUUCAUAAAAAUUUAUAAUAGAAUUUUAUUUUUUAGUCAAAAAGCUAAAAUAAAUUUAAAAGACGAGAAGACCCUAUAAAUCUUUAUAUUUAGAUAAUUACAAUUUUGUGGAUUUUUUUUGUUGUGAUUGUUGAUAAUAUUUUAUUGGGGUGAUAUUAAAAUUUAAAAAACUUUUAAUUAAUUAAAUCAUUAAUUUAUGAAUAAUUGAUCCGUUAUUAACGAUUAAAAAUUUAAGUUACUUUAGGGAUAACAGCGUAAUUUUUUUGGAGAGUUCAUAUCGAUAAAAAAGAUUGCGACCUCGAUGUUGGAUUAAGAGAUAUAUUUUGGUGCAGUCGCUAAAAUGUUAAGUCUGUUCGACUUUUAA